ACCACGUGAUCAUCCACGAGAGCAGUCGCUUCGAUAAUAUGAACCGCAGAUGCUGGAGAAUCCGAGAUAACACGGUGUGCAGCUGGAUGAACACAGCAGGUCAAGCAGCAUCAGAGUAGCAGGAAAGCUGACGUUUCGGGCCUAGAUCCUUCGCUGAGACCAAGACUUGUGCAAUUGAGAUACCAGCGAUCGUUGCCAAAGCCCUCUUACCUGUGCAGAAGGUGAUGUUCAACUUUCGUGUCCUGCUGCAGUUUGUAUGAUGAAGGUGAUCCCACAAUGCGGGCAUUUGAGAAGUUACAGAUCGUUCAUCUAGCGAUACUGAAGAGCUGAUGGUGUUAGUCCAAAUCAACAAACAAUUUGUAUUUUUAUCAUGUUUUACAAUUUGAUUAAAACUAUUAUCACGAAACUUUUGACGUAAGGCCAUGUUAGGUCAGGUGACCAAAAAGUAACCAAAUUUGCAGGUUUUCCUGACUGUCUUAAAGAAGCCCAAUUAUCUCGGGAUUUUGAACGUUGAAGGAGAAAGCAGCACUCACACUUUGGAGAAAUGCAAAUGGUUUGUGUAUAAAAGAGUCUGAAGAUUCAUCUGAAAUGUCCUAACACCAUACUGGGGAGACAGUGUGGAAAUGGGCAGAUUACAAGAAGGAAUUUCUUCAUCCAUCCCAGCUGGAAACUGACCACCAGAGUCACACUGGAGAGAGACCAUUCACCUGCUCUGAUUGUGGAAUGGGAUUCGCUCAGCCAUCUAACCUGCUUAAACACCAGGGAGUUCACACUGGAGAGAAACCAUUCACUUGCUUGGAAUGUGGGAAAGCAUUCACUCAGACAACUCACCUGCUGAUACACCAGCAAAUUCACACUGGAGAGAGACCAUUGGCCUGUUGUGUGUGUGGGAAAGUUUUUCUGACUCAAAUUCUCCUCUGACACACCAGCAAGUUCACUCUGGGGAGAGACCAUUCAUGAGCUCUGAGUGUGGGAAAGCAUUCACUCAGUCAUCCAAACUGUCACAAAGAACCACAGUUGAAGGAUUUUGCUAUUACGCUCACGAUCAAAUGAACCAUAGUUUUUGGCUGUUUGUACUGAUGUUACUCAUCCCUGUUCAAUUAAAGGUGCUGGUAUUGUGAAUAAAA